rnacentral:lncRNA from 1 species
GGAAGCGAAAGUUUGUUAUGAGUGAUUUCGUAUGCAGAACUAUGACUAAUUUGCAGAGAAUAUGCCACCUCAUCGCUGGUCGGUCAUCGGUUUGCCAGAACCAUCUUUCGAGUCUGUUGAAUCUUCACGUCAGUGGUGAAUGUUGAUAAGUAUCCUGCUCUCUCUUCGUGCUUUACGCGUGUCGGGCCAUUUAAAAAUUUCUCGAUCCACUUAUACACACUUCCGCAUGGUAGAGGUAGAGCCCUGUCUUUGUAUCUAACUUGGACGCCUGCGAUGAAUUUCAUUCCUUGACACACCUUCAGACCAGAGAAAUCGGAUUACUGAUUUCUCUUCUUCCUUUUCUACACUGUCAGCAGAGCGGUUAUAUUUAGUCUGUUACACGAAAAGAAAACUGGAACGAUCAAGGUCGAACCUCGGUUACGUAAGUGUAUCACCUAUUAGCAUAUGAGCACUGAAAACAGUGCAGCCAAUGAAAGUUUUGGCGAAGAUAAUGCAGCCAACCAAAAUAAAGUGCGGAUAAUUUUUCUUUCUUUAGUAUGUCUAUGUGUGUGUGUGGUGAGUGUUAUGAAUACUCCUCCCCCAUAUAAUGUACACUAAAAGAAGAAAAAAACCCAGCAUGGUGGGGGUAUAAAGUUCGGCGCUUAAAAUGAAGCGAAAGAGUCAUAGCGUUUCGGACAUUAGUCCCUCAUCAGAAAAAGAGGAAACUAUAAGGGGGUGAGAAAAAACUAAAAUCGGCCAGAAUAAUAACGGGCAAGUGGUUAGGAGGCAGGUGGAAUUGCGGUUCUAUGAGGUGGGGCGGCGUUAAGAAGGAAGGAGAGGCAGAUAUGCAUGUGCAAGUAUGGGAGUGUUUUCGUGUUUAGAUAUUGCAUAUGAUGGGAAUGGCAUAUGCGUAGAUUAAGACGAAACACAGUAUACGUAUGACGUAGUUAAUUUUUGGUAAAUGUAUGGCACUGUGCUUUCAUAGCAUUGUAUUUCGUGCACAAAAUCAUAUUUUCCCACUGAAAAUCACUUUAACUCCGUAGAAUUUAAACCAACCACAUCUGGCUCAGAUAUUCUACUUGUUUUAUGCUCAAAAUGAUCAUAUCUAGCUUUCCACAGCAACACGAUAAUGUCAUUCUGAAAAUAUACAAUAACUUCAAAAUCUUGAAGCUGCGAAAUGAUGCCUGUUUAAUUCAAAACAAUAAGAAUAAAUAAACAUUACAUUUAAUGGAGUAAUUUGAAUACUAAAGGGUUAAAAUACCUUUUAGUUGGUGUAUGAUGAAAUAUACUAAAUUUGUUUUGUUCCACAUAACAUACUUGUAAAACAGGGGUGCGUCUUAUACACCGGUAAAUACUGUGACGAGUAGAUAGUGUGAAGAUUAGAGUUUAUUCCAGCAACAAACUGUCUCCCAUCAUCACUGUACGUCGACGAAGUGUGCUGUAUGGUCCGUAGUUAGAUGAAGCCAGUACCAGGUUUAGGCUUGGUUUGGUCUUAAGCCCAUAGUUUACAACAGUUUUUCACCACCAGUGAAUCGCUCUUUAUUUAAAUGAAGUUUCUCUCGAAGUAUUUACAAGUUCUAAGUACUCAAUAACCUGGUUUUAUUAAGUAACAGCAAAACUCGUUUUCCCAGUUUCACCUCUCGAUUGAAAGAUACAUAUAUAAUUGUUAAAGAAGACAACAAACGUUAAGGCAAGGCAAACAUCUCAAGUCGUUUUACAUUAUUACUGUUGGAAAAAAAUAUUAAUCUUCUCUCUAUAUAAACGGCAGUUUGUCUGUGUGUGUUUCUGUGUGUCUGUUAGGUUGUACCCUCACCCUGACCACGGCUUUCAACCGAUUCUGAUGAAACUUGACACACACAUAGCCCAAUGUCAUAAUUCAAAACUAACGCAGCGAAAAUUUUAAAAAGUUCCCCCCGUUCUGAAAAAAAUCGAUAAAUUCUACAUGGGGUCAAGAAUCAGAAACACAAACCACAGACUGUCUAGGGGACGCAACUCGACCUUUUUAACUAAAAAAAAAUUUACCAUCAUUUUUUUCCCAUUUUUUGGCUAUAACUCUCUAAAAAUGCUUUAUAGUUAUUUCCCUUACAAACCCGAGCAACGCCAGACGAUACUGCUAGUAUUGUAUAUGACUUGAGAUGUUUGCCUUGCCUUAACGUUUGUUGUCCUGUUUAACAAUAAGAUAUCCGCUGCAUUGGAUAUCUGCAAUGGCUCCAUAACCACCGUCUCGGCUAUAACCUUGGAGCCCUAGUAAUCCGUUACAGCACUUAACUAGCGUACUUAAUCGUUUAGAUCGGAGGCGCAAUGACCCAGUGGUUAGGGCAGCGGACUCGCGGUCAUAGGAUCGCGGUUUCGAUUCCCAGACCGGGCGUUGUGAGUGUUUAUUGAGCGAAAACACCUAAAAGCUCCACGAGGCUCCGGCAGGGGAUGGUGGUGAUCCCUGCUGUACUCUUUCACCACAACUUUCUCUCACUCUUACUUCCUGUUUCUGUUGUACCUGUAUUUCAAGGGGCCGGCCUUGUCACUCUCUGUGUCACGCUGAAUAUCCCCGAGAACUACGUUAAGGGUGCACGUGUCUGUGGAGUGCUCAGCCACUUACACGUUAAUUUCACGAGCAGGCUGUUCCGUUGAUUCGGAUCAACCGGAACCCUCAUCGUCGUAACCGACGGAGUGCUAAAGAAGAAAGAAUCGUUUAGAUCACCUGUGAACUAAACCCCCAUACUUUAUAUAUGUGAGUGUGUGUGUUGUGUAAACACACACACACACAUAAUAGAUCAGGAUUCAAGUGAAUCAGGCCGUUAAAUGGUAAGGCCCCAGAUCGAGUCGAAAAUAAAAAUGAGUACACAGCAAAAAUAGACGAACACAUAGGCGAGUACCGAAGUACAAGCUUUUGAAUGUUUUUGAAUUGACGGCGACGAUUGCGGGUGAUUUAUCUCCCCGCUAGCGAUGUAUAAAGAAGAGUGCUUAUAUGCACUGAGAGUUCACACGAGAGAUUCUCUCAUGGUAACUGUUGUAGUAUACUGUGUUCUAACACAACAUCCACUUUUAAGUGAGGCUCUGUGUGUGUGUGUGUGUGUGUGUGAGUGAGAGAGAGGGAGAGAGAGAGUAAGAAACUCGCUUUGCCGCCACUUGCUUGGUUUCGGGUUCAGUCCUACAAACCUCGAGCAAGUGUCUUCUACUAUAGCCCCAGCUAACGAAUAGCCUGUGAGUAAAUUUGACGGAAACUGUGUGGAAGCCCGUCAUAUAUAUACAUAUAUAUUCAUGCAUACAUGCACAUUUCUGUAUGUAUGUUUGUGUUGUCUCGUCUGUGGUUGACAACCGGUGUUGGUAUGUUUACAUCCCCGAAACUUAGCGGUUCGGCAAAAACACUUUGAAACUAAAUAAUGUACUAGAGUCGAUUUCUUUGUCUAAAACCCUACAAGGCAGUGCCCCAGCAUGGCUGCAUUCCAAUGACUAAAAUCGGUGAAAAAAAAGAAGAAGAAGAACCCGGCUCCGAAUACAAGUGACAUGAUGUAUCUUGACGCACAGGAUCUAUGGAUCGGUCAUCUUUCCUAGGACUGACUGCUUGCUGGAUUAGGCGCUGGUUCAAAUCUACACCUCGACAACGCUCACAGCAACACCAUCGAUACUCCUACCUGAAAGAACUAAGUGAUCUUGCCUAUUUUUCUUUGAUUACUCUAAUACAGUGGUUUUCAACCAGGGCCAUAUGACCCUUAGGUGUCCACGUAAGUUUUUGUUGUUAAAAUGUGUGCAACAAAUUGGUUAUACGACUACAAUACACAAAACAGAACAUGAGAUACACGAGAUGGAAGAGUGCUGAAGAGGUCACAGUGUGUGGCGAAAGAUUUCAAAACAUUGGACAUAAACAAAUUAAGAACAGUAAUAAACGAGUGAGUGGAAGUACAUGGCCUAGUGGUUAGAGCAGCGGACUCACGGUCGAGGGAUCGCGGGUUCGAAUCUCAGACCGGACGAUGUGUGUGCUUACGAGCAAAAUACCUAAGCUCCACGCAGCUCUGGCAGAAGGUAAUGGCGAACUUCUGCAGAAUCUUUCGCCACAACUUUCUCUCACUCUUUCCUCCUGCGUCUUGCAGCUCACCUGCGACGUACCGUGGCAGUUUAAAGCUUUCUUUCCAUAAAUCCCAAGUUAGUUCAGUGGUUGAAAAUAAUCGUGGAAUCUUCCUGAGAACUACGUUAAGAGUACACGUGUCUGUGGAGCGCUCAGCCAUUUGCAUGUUAAUUUUACGAACAGGCUGUUCUAUUGAUCGGAUCAACUGGAAUGUUCGUCGUCGACAACCGACGGAGGGCCAAUUUAUUAGUAGAGUGGAGUUAAACCGAUACUCACCCAUCUGCUACUGACACACACACACACAAGCGCGCGUGCGCGCAUUGACAGAUGAGCUCUAGACACGACAUAUGCGCAGGGGCAUAUUAUUUGUAGAUAACAUGCGUAUUUUUGAUGUCUAAGCUGUGCUCCAGCUGCCCUUAACGGUGAUUUUAGAGACGAACUUAAGAACACCGGCUGACAUCUGUACAGACGCGCGUAUAUAUCUCCUAUACGAAUACGCGCAUUCACUCACUCACGCAUACACACGCCCAAACGCACACACGAUACUUACGAUAUAACACGUGCACUCACGCAUACACGUUUUCAUGAUUGUCUGGUAUAUAUACAUGUGUGUGUGUGUGUUUGUGUGAAACUGAUUAAUUAUGUGCGGUACGCAUAUAUUUUACUUGGCUGUAAUAGCCACACAUGCACACACAUACACACAUAAACGCACACACUUGCACACAUGCCACAAGCAUACAUACACGCACAGCUAUAAAUUUGGUGACAUUUUUGCAGAUGAAUGCACAAGCUUUCAAUUUUAAUAAAACUAUUCUCAUACAUAUACACAUAUAGAUACACAAGUAAAAAAGAAUUACUUCUAAACGCAACACAUUCGACAAGUUUUACAGACAAGCAUAUGUGAGCGCGCAUCAGACACCUAUGGCAGAAACGGUAGCACGCCGGGCGAAAUGCGUAGCCGUAUUUCGUCUGCCGCUACGUUCUGAGUUCAAAUUCCGCCGAGGUCGACUUUGCCUUUCAUCCUUUCGGGGUCGAUAAAUUAAAGUACCAGUUAUGCACUGGGUUCGAUAUAAUCGACUUAAUCCGUUUGUCUGUCCUUGUUUGUCCUCUCUGUGUUUAGCCCCUUGUGGGUAGUAAAGAAAUAUAUAUACACACAUGAACACACACAUCCACGCACAUAUACACGCACACACUUAUAUAUGUAGAUUCUCAUGUGUCAUAUAUUAAAAGUUUACAAAUUUCGCCUAAUUGUAAAUUGUAUGCAUACAUACAUAUAUAUGCAUAUAUAUAUAUAUAUAUAUAUGUAUGCAUAUAUGUGUGUGUGCAUAUAUUUCGUUUUUUGGAUUUGGUUUGCUAGAUUCUUUAUGUGAGUUCGUGUGUUAAAGCAUAUUCUGUUGUGUUUAGGGAGAGACAUUCUCUUUUUAUGCCUUAUAAUUUAACACAUUUACCGGUAAAAUUUCCACUCAUUUACUUAUUUACUUCUUUUAAAACUUUCGUUGCGUUUUGCAACCUUUUCAAUAGUUGUUGAGAGUCAACAAUUUUUGAAAAGGUUGCAAGACGCAACGAAAAUUUUAGAAAUAUAAAUAAUUGAGUGGAAAUUUCACCGGUGAGUGUGUUAAAUUAUAAGCCACUAAAAGAGAAUAAUUCUCCCCAGACACAACAGUAUAUGCAUAUAUAUAUACAUACAUACAUAUAUUUAUGUACCCAUACACACGCGCGCAGUUAUAUAUAUAUAUAUAUAUAUAUAUACACACACAUAUAUAUAUGCACAUACAUAUAUAUAUAUAUAUAUAUAUAUAUAUAUAUAUAUAUGCACAUACGUGUGUGUGCAUAUAUAUAGACACACACACACACAUGCAUGCAGACGUAUGUACCAUGCUUAGCUACGCAAUUCAGUUUCACACAGACCAUGCUUAUAUAUAUUAUUACAUCUACAACGUGGUUUGACAUACGCUCCUAAAUUUAGUACUACACACACACACACACACACACACACACACAGUUAAUGUCUCGUGCUGGCAUAUACAACACACACAAUUACCAAAUUUCUCACACAUACACACACUCACACACAUUAACACAUAUACAAAUAAUGACAGGGUCUGUCUUGUUCUUUAUUACAAACACAGCUAUAUAGUUUCUCUUUCGCAUAAAUAUAAUAUAUAUAUUAUAUAUAUAUAUAUAUACAUACAUAUAUUUACACUUUCGUUUACACAGAACCGAAAUAAAUCUAGCUUAACUGUUUGAGUAUCUCUUUUUCUUAUACUGAUUUUCACAUACAGACACACUUUAUACAUUUAAGCGCAUCUUUUGCUCAGAAAUACCCAUUUCUCGAUUUCGCAUCCCUCAAACUCUAAAGCAACUCGCUUCUCACAAACUUUUAGUACGUUACGUCUGACUUUGUCUCUCUUUCUCACACACACACACAUUAACAUAAACAGACAUUAAUAGCCACAUACACACUUUUUCUCACAGGAUUAAGAUACGCUUUUCUCUUUACAUAUAUUUUUGUCGCUUUCGUUUAUUCUUCUCGUACAUUCUUACUAGACUCACACACACACUUACACACAAACAAUUAACUGCUCAAACACGUUUCUCACGAAAUUAUACACACGUCUAAGUUCUUUCUUUCUUUCUCUCUCACACAUACACACUCACAAGUAUACACACGCGCGUUUUUCUCACGAAAUUAAUAUAUAUACGUUAUUUCUUCCUCGCUCUCUCACACACUCACAUAUACCUACACAUACUCGUCUUUCUCACAAAAUUACACACACACAUAUACACACUCUUUCGGCUUUGCAUACAUAUACUCUUUUUCUUGUUUCAGUCAUUUGACUGCGGCCAUGCUGGAGCACCGCCUUUAGUCGAGCAAAUCGACCCCGGGACUUAUUCUUUGUAAGCCCAGUACUUAUUCAAUCGGUCUCUUUUGCCGAACCGCUAAGUGACGGGGACGUAAACACACCAGCAUCGGUUGCCAAGCAAUGCUAGGGGGACAAAAACAGACACACACUCACAUACAUAUAUAUAUAUAUAUAUAUAUAUAUAUAUAUAUAUAUAUAUAUAUAUACAUAUAUACGACAGGCUUCUUUCAGUUUCCGUCUACCAAAUCCACUCACAAGGCAUUGGUCGGCCCGGGGCUAUAGCAGAAGACACUUGCCCAAGAUGCCACGCAGUGGGACUGAACCCGGAACCAUGUGGUUUGUUAGCAAGCUACAUGUUCACAAACACAUAUUUAUACACAUGCAAGGAUACACACACACACACAGAUAUGCCUCACACACAUUUAUGUACAAACACUCAAACACGCUCAUAGUUUUACCAAGAUACGCACAUAUUCCUCAUAUCUAUAUAGACACAUACACACACACAGUCUUGCCGGCAUAGCACACACAUACACACACAAACACGCACACACAGAAAUUUCCACCUCAUAGACACGUCCACGUACAUACCAACUUUCUCACCCUUCGUACAUAUCACACAUGCAAACACACGUUUACACAAAGACAAAACUAAAAGGCUUGGUAGUUGUAGUAGUCGUAGUAGUAGCAAUAGUAAUAAUAGUAGUAGCAGCAGCAGCUGUAGUAACAGUAGUAGUGGCGGUGGUGGUGGUAGUGGUGGUGGUGGAUUAAUUUGAGUGUGAGUGCCUCAGCAAGUUUUACUAUACAAUAUCAGCAGCAACAGUAGUAGUAGUAGUUAUCGUAAAAACUUUUUGGGGAGAUGCACUCAACCCCCUUCCCUCCCCACUCGCUUUCUCUGUCUCUCUCUCUGUCUUUCUCUCACCCUCCUUCUUUCACUUCUUCCCCUCUCUCUCUCUCUCUCCCUCCCUGUGAGUUGUUGAGGUCGAUGGUAAGUAGGUCAGUGCGAGAAACUUGAUCACAUGUCAACUAGCCCCCCCUCCCGACUUAUGUACUUGUGGCUGUGUGUGUGCGUGUGUGUGUGUGUGUGUGAACGGCUGAGUCUGCGUAUGUGUAUGUGUUUGUAUCUCUAUAUAUAUUUAUGUAAGUCUGUAUCUGUGUCUCUUUCUCUCUCUGAUCUAUGCGCGCGUGUGUAAAUCUGUAGGUAUCUAUGUACGUAUGUGUAUGUAUAUAUAUAUAUAUAUAUAUAUAUAUAUAUAUGUGUGUGUGUGUGUGUGUUUUCAGUACGUGAAUAUAUGUGUGUGUGUGCCUAUAUGUGUUGUCAGUGUAUGUGCAUAUGUAUACGGUUGUCUCUAUGUGUGUAACCAUCUCUGAUCUGUGUAUGUGUCAGUGUGUGCGUAUACGCCUGUGACUAUAUAUAUAUAUGUGUGUGUGUGUGUGUGUGCGUAUACGUCUGUAACUAUAUAUAUAUAUAUAUAUAUGUAUGCGUAACUUUGCGUAUCUCUGCGCCUUUGGUAUGUGUGUGUAUGUAUGUGCCUUUCUCUCUGUGCGUGUCUAUAGUGUUGGGAAUCUUGCGUUUGCGUGUAUUUGAGUAUGUCGACAUGUAUGUCUAUGUAUGUGUGUGUGUGCAUGUCUUUUGAGUGUCUUACUCAAGUGUAUGAGCAUGUCUGUCUCUCAAUAUGUGUGCAUAUAUAUAUAUAUAUUGUGUGCAUAUGUAUAUAUAUAUAUAUAUAUAUAUAUAUAUAUACAUAUACAUAUAUAUAUGUAUAAUAUUUAUAUCGUCUGCUGUCCUUCAUUUCCACUACAACUAAUAAAUAAUAGUAAAAAGAAACUUUACACAAUAUCAUUAUUGUUAUUAUUAUUAUUAUUAUGUUUAUUUGUUACUUGAAACUUCAAACUCUGUUGUUGUACUGAACAUUUUAUUUAUUUAUUUGUUUCCUUUUUGCAGUACUUUCUCCCAGUCAUUGUUGCUGUUGUUAUUGUUUGUCGUCUUUGUGUCUGUUUUACUAUAAUAGCUGGUUUCAAAAUGUCUCCUUGUACGUGAGUGUGUGUGUGCGCGCACGCGAACGUUUUACUAUCACUCUUUCCUGUCUGCGCCGAUAAAAUUUGCGUAUAUGUGUAUUUUUAAUAUUACUAUUUCCUGAGCUUCUGAUAAAGUUGUAUGCGUGUGUGUACAUAGUGUGUGUUGGUGUACAUACGGUAUAUCCGUGUGUGAGUGUGUAUUUUACUAUAAGUAUUUUCUGAGUACUUACUAUGUAUGUGUGUGUGUAUUACUCUUUUACUUAUUUCAGUUAUUUGUCUGUGGCCAUGCUGGAGCACCGCCUUUAGUCGAGCAAAUCGACUCCAGGACUUAUUCUUUGUAAGCCUAGUACUUAUUCUAAGUUACGGGGACGUAAACACACCAACAUCGGUUGUCAAGUGAUGUUGGGGGUACAAACACAGACACAAACGUACACACACACACAUAUACAUAUAUGUAGAAGACACUAUAGUAGAAGACACUUGCCCAAUGUGCCACUCGGUGGGACUGAACCUGGAAGCAUGUGGUUGGUAAGCAAGCUACUUACCCCACAGCCACUCCUGCGCCUGUACAAUAACUUUUCUCGGUGUCUGAGAAUGUAUGUAUGUAUGUAUCUAUGUAUGUAUGUAUGCGUCUAAAAGUUUUUAUACGUGGUGUCUAGUGAGUGUGUGUGUGUAUUUUUUAAUAAAAUUACUAUUAUCUAAGUGUCAGAAACUUUGUACAUGUAUAUUUCUGAUAAUUAUUUUCUAUGCAUAUAAAUUUUGCCUGUGUAUGUGUGUUUUCUAAGCGUCUGUAUAAAUUUGUAUGCGUGUGUAUAGUAUUGUAUGUCUGCGCGCGUGUGUGUAUUUUUUACUAUAACUAUUUUUAAAAACACCAGUUUGUAUGUGUAUAUAAAAUUCCUAUGGUGUGUGAGCGUAGAGAGAGUGAGAGAAAGAGAAAGAGAGAGUGUGUGUGUGUGUGUGUGUGUGUGUGUGUGUGUGUGUAAGUAUUUUUCUAUGUAUACUGUAUGUGUGCGUAGAGUAUUUUUACUAUAAACUGCUUCUACAAAAUAGUUCUUGUAAACACACACGUUCUUUACAUACACACACAUAUAUGUACACAGGAAAUAGCUUUUGUAAAAACACGCUAUAUUUUUAUAUCAUGUAUGUGUGUGUGUUUGUGUGUACAAGUUUUCUCGUUGCGUAUGUUUACUAUAUAUAACGUAUGCGAGUUUUGUACAUAUAUGUCCAUAAAGUGUGUAUAUAUAUAUUUUUACUAUAACUACUUUCAGUGCGUCUAAGCGUGUGUGUGCGUGUGUGUGUGUGUGAUAUGCUUUACUAUAGCAGUAGCUGUUUUCUUAAGUUCUAUUUUAUUAUAUAGCUAUUUUAUAUGUCUACCGGCAUAUAUGCAUAUAAAAUACGUUAUGAUUUACGAUAACUCUUUUCUGUAACUGUUACAAUAAAUAUUUUCCGGUGUCUAGUAAUUAAGUAUAUAUAUAAUGCGUGUGUGUAAUACAUUUUCUGCAACUAUUUUCCGUAUAUAAGGUUCAUGUGUUUAUAAAGAAAGUAAAAAUACUUUUUUUUAUAUAAACAUAAUAUUAUCAUGUAUUUGUUACUUGGAAACUUUUAAAAUCUUCGUAUAUAUGUAUAUAAAUAAAGUGUGUAUAUGUAUGUACGUAUAUAUGUGUUUUACUCUCUAUGUAUGUGUAUCCACUGCGUGACACCUUGGGCAAGUGUCUUUUAUAGCCUCGGGCCGACCAAAGCCUUGUGAGUGGAUUUGGUAGACAGAAACUGAAAGAAGCCCGUCGUGUGUGUAUAUAUAAAUAUAAAUAUAUAUAUAUAUAUAUAUAUAUAUAUAUAUAUAUAUAUAUACUUUUGCCGAACCGCUAAGUUAUGAGGACGCAAACACACUAGCACCGGUUGUCAAGCGAUGGUAUAUAUAUAUAUAUAUAUAUAUAUAUAUAUAUAUAUAUAUAUACCUACGUGUAUGUCUUUGUGUCUGUUUCUCCCCCCCUCCCGCUUGACAACCAGUGCUAGUGUUUAUGUCCUCAUAACUUAGCGGUUCGGCAAAAGUUACUGAUGGCAUAAGUAUCAGACUUAUAAAAAAAAAGGGUACUGCCGUAGUGGAGUCGAUACAUUCGACUAAAGAUUUAAGGCGGUGCCCCAGCAUGGCCGCAGUCUAAUGGCUGAAACAAGUGAAAGAUGAAGAAGUUGUGUGUAUGUGUGAGUGUAUGUAAACUUAACUGUGAUUCAAAUGCCUGUGUUCGUGUGUUUGUAGGUGUAGAGAGUUUGACAGACAGCGUAACAAAAAGAACGAAAAAAGACGAGAUGAGUUCGUGGCCAAUCUUAUAAGUUUAACGCUCAGAGAAUGCAAAAAGUAAAUUUUGAUGUUUCGGGCAUUUUUCCUUCGCCAGCACGACAAUCGUCUUUUUUCUCCAGUAUCCAAAGGACAUAGGUUUGUACAAAACGAGUUGAACACAUCUAUAACAAGGUAAUUUGCAUUAUUUAAACAAAAAUGAAGAGAAAGAAAUAACUCAGUGGCCGGUGGUAUGCAUAUGAGCAGCAUAGAUAAAAGCAGGUAUAUCAAAUAUAAGGCGGAGAGCUGGCAGAAACGUUAGCACGUCGGGCGAAAUGCUUAGCGGUAUUUCGUCUCCCGUUACGUUGUCAGUUCAAAUUCCGCCGAGGUCGACUUUGCCUUUCAUCCUUUCGGGGUCGAUAAAUUAAGUACCAGUUACACACUGGGGUCGAUAUAAUCGACUUAAUACCUAUGUCUGUCCUUGUUUGUCCCCUCUAUGUUUAGCCCCUUGUGGGUAAUAAAGAAAUAGGUAUAUCAAAUACCAAACAGCACACACGUUCGCAUACACGUAUAGAGAGCAGUGCUUCUCGAAGCACAUAAAGCUGUAAAUAAUAGCAUGUAAAUAGUGGGUUGCAUCACCCUUUUAAAUAGAAAAAGCCAAAGGCUGCCUGCAGGACACGAACUCACAUUUCCUGUACACAUGACAGCCGUCGACGGGCAGCCUUCGACAUUUCCUUUCCUAAACGGAUUUUUAACUCGCUAUUUACUUGCUGGUAUUUCUAGCUUUAAGUGUCUUGAGAUCUACUCCACCUCAUCCUACCAAACAAAACAAAAAAAAAAAUGAUAAUAAAAGAAAUAUUUCACGUUCUCUCAAACGUUUACGAAUUCUUAUGACGUCAGCAAAUUCUUUUAUUCUCGUUUCAGUCAUUUUAUUUGACUGCGGCCAUGCUGGAGCAUCGCCUUGAAGGAUUUUAUUUUUAGUCGAACAAAUCGACUCCAGGACUUAUUCUAUCGUUUUAAUUUGCCGAACCGCUAGAUUAGGAGGACAUAAACACACCAACACCGGUUAUCAAGCGAUGGGGGACAAACACAGAUAUGUAUGUGUGUGUGUAUAUAUAUAUAUAUAUAUAUAUAUAUAUAUAUAUAUACUCACCCACCUCGCGCAUGCCCUCUUGUACGAGGGUAACCAAAACCGAAACCGUCCUACCGGCCCCCGUGAAGCCGGGGCUCGAGAUCCACACAUAAGACUUUGGUCGACCCAAGGCUAUAGUAAAAGACAUUUGCUCAGGGUGCCACGCGGUGGGACUGAACCCGGAACCAUGUGGUUGGGAAGCAAGUUUCUUUCCACACAUCCACGCCUAUAUAUAUAUAUAUAGAUAGUUAGAUAAAUAGAUAGAUAGAUAAAUAGAUACAUGCGCGCACGCACAGAUAUACGUUUGAAAUGUAAGCCGUAACUUUUAAACAGUUAAAUUUUCACUCUGUGGAGAAGCGCCAAAGGAAUUGUUUCGCCGUAUGUGGGGUCGUUCUAAAUUCUGCUCUUGUGAGAUCUUCGUCAGAGAAAGUAUACCCAACUUCUAUCGAAUCAUUGGCAAUCUUUCGUCUCUAGUAGACCUUUCCGUCGAUUUCCGUAAAAAACAUUUUUUUUUUACAUAUGGGCUUGCGGGAACUUUUGAAGUUCACACACACAUGUACAUCAAUGUUUCCCAUGCAGGGUAACUUCAAAAGAACUUCCCUCGUCAUACAAUCGAUUUCUCUUAGUCUCUUUCGCUCUCAUUACUUCAAAAGUUCCCGCAAGCCCAUAUGUAAAAAAAAAAUGUUUUUUUACGGAAAUCGACGGAAAGGUCUACUAGAGACGAAAGAUCGCCGAAUCAUUAUUUAUAAACGUACACAAACGAGAAAUCAAUUUAACCGGUCAUUCUAAAUUACAUAGCAGUACAUACAUUGUCAAAAUUGAUUAAUUAACCAAUCAAUUACUUAAUUGAUUAAAAAUUAAUUCACUGUGCACUGCGCAUUAGUUUCUUUUUCUGGGUUUUUUUUUGUUUGUUUUGUUUUAAUAAUUAGAAAUGCAAAAUAAUACGUUUUCAUAAACAAGCAAUUUAAACCUCACCGUGAAAAAGUAAACAUUCUUAUGACACGCUGUGUAUGAAUAGCUUUAAAGGCAUGAUACGUUAAUGCUUUCGGUGUCAACCAUGCUUUAUACAACAAUCACACUAUCUCUCUCUCUCUCUCUCUCUCUCUCUCUCUCUCUCUCUCUCUCUCUCUCUCUCGCUCUCUCGCUCUCUCUCUCUCUCGCUCUAUCUAUCUAUCUAUCUAUCUAUCUAUCUAUCUAUCUAUCUAUCUAUCUAUCUAUCUAUCUAUCUAUCUAUCUAUCUCCCUAUCAGUUUGUCUGUCACCCUCUCCCUCUCUCUCUAUCUAUCUAUUUUUCUCUCUUUGCCUUUAUAAAUAUAUAUCUUUUUUUUUUUUACUUAUUUCAAUCAUUUGACUGUGGCCCUGCUGGAGCACCGCCUUUAGUCGAGCAAAUCGACCUCAGGACUUAUUCUUUAUAAACCUAGUCUCUUUUGCCGAACCAUUAAGUUACGGGAACGUAAACACACCAGUAUCGGUUGUCAAGCGAUGCUGGGGGACAAACACAGACACACAAACAUAUAUAUAUAUAUAUAUAUAUAUAUAUAUAUAUAUAUAUAUAUACACACACACGACACGAUUCUUUCAGUUUCCGUCUACCAAAUCCACUCACAAGGCUUUGGUUGGCCCAAGAAGUAGACACUUGCCCAAGGUGCCACGCAGUGGACUGAACACAGAACCAUGUGGUUGGUAAGCAAGCUACUUACCACACAGCCACUCCUACGCCUAUAUAUAUAUAUAUAUAUAUAUAUAUAUAUAUAUAUAUAUAUAUAUAUGUAUAUCUCUUUUACUCUUUUACUUGUUUCAGUCAUUUGACUGCGGCCAUGCUGGAGCACCGCCUUUAAUCGAGCAACUCGACCCCGGGAUUUAUUCUUUGUAAGCCCAGUACUUAUUCUAUCGGUCUCUUUUGCCGAACCGCUAAGUAACGGGGACGUAAACACCAGCAUCGGUUGUCAAGCGAUGGUGGGGGGGGGGGGGCAAACACAGACACACAAACAUAUACACACACACACACAUAUAUAUAUACAUAUAUACGACUGGCUUCUUUCAGUUUCCGUCUACCAAAUCCACUCACAAGGCUUUGGUCGACCCGAGGCUAUAGCAGAAGGCACUUGCCCAAGAUGCCACGCAGUGGGACUGAACCCGGAACCAUGUGGUUGGUAAACAAGCUACUUACCACACAGCCAUAUGUAUAUAUUAUAUAUAUUAAGAGCUAAAAUUAGAAUGGCACACACCCAUUUCAUUUACAUACUUUGUAUUACUAUCACUGGUGAAGUCAUGCAUCGGUCAGGAAUGGGCACACACAUACACACACUCGCAAACCAUGCACACACAUAUACACACCUACUGACGAGAAAAUAGUUGUAAAAAUGACAAGCAAAUAUACAAUAUGUCAAGCUUUAAAUGCAAAAGGAAAUAACUAAAGCACUGUGUGUGUGUGUGUGUGUGUGUGUGUGUGUGUGUAUGAGCAUAUGCAAACAUACAGUCGGAGAAUCACCGCCCUCGGUCGUUUCCUCCUGUUAGCUGAAUACGAGUGCGAACACGCUAUUCUAAACGUAGCGCAUUUGACAUUGACAUUGCUUUUGUUUUUUUGUUUUUUUAAUAUGGUAUUUACUUAUAAGUAAAUACCAUAUAUGCCUUCUCACCCGUCUCUCUCUUACUGUCAUUGUGUGUGUGUUUAUGUAUACACACUUUCAUAUCUCCGGUCAUUCAGGUCCUUUGUCAUCCCCUCUGUGAAUUUCAAGAUCUUGAGAUCAGCCUUCCCCACUUCGUUCUAUGUCUUCUUAGGUUUGCUGCAUUUGCAAACGUUCUACGUGAAGCGACCGGCACUUUUUAAUAUAGUUGUCCCUGUCCAUACGCAUCACACGUCCAUACCGGUUUCUUUCUUCCAUACUCCAUCUGAUUCCUUUUAUACCCAGUUUUGUUUUUUCAUUUACAUAUUUACAUUGUGUAUUCAACAGAGCAUUCUAGCUUCACUUCUUUUCUACAUUUUGUCUAGUCCUCUGCAUUCAAGACUCAUGUCUCACUACCAUGCAACAUCGCAGACGUAUCAUCUUCCAUUCACUCUGAGUUGAAAGAUUUUUGUCGCCGGCAGUGGUGGUAGCUUCCUGAACUCUCUUCAACCCUUUCCUACCUUGGCUGCAAUACUUUCGGAGCAACCAUUUCCUUUGCUUGUUACAUCUCUUAGGUAACAAAAGCUAUCGACUACUUGUGAGCAAGCAAAGCAUUUAAGAGAAUCUAUUUCCAGUGUGCUCAAAGAACGUACCACUGCAGUGCAUCUAUCACAUACGAAGCUUAUGUUGUCUGUUAGUUCGUUUGUGAUUCCACUCCAUCUCUUGUGUGUUCAUAACUUACAUUGUGUACAAGCAUAUGGGGUUUAUAUUUUCUUCUUUUCUGCAUACUGACCAAGACUAUUUCCCUAAAUAUAUGUUAGUGGUGUCUUCUAUCUUAAAACUUUCAUCUUUGCUAAUUUUCGGUUUUCGGUCUAAUUUCCAUGUCUAGAAUUUCCCCUCUAAUUUACGGUCUGAAUUAGAUCAUCGGCGUAUAGGAGUUCCCUAUGACAGCCAGUCGUGGUGACCUGCAGGACUAUGGUGAAUAGGUGGGGAUGAGCACUGAGAUUUGGAUUUCUAUUCUAUCCUUACGCUAAACACACACACGCACGCACACACACACACACACACACACACACACAUACAUACAUACAUACAUACAUACAUACAUACAUACAUACAUACAUACAUACAUACAUACACACACACACACACACACACACACACACACGAUGGCUGCCCCCUCGUUAUCGAGUAUGGCCAUUGCACAAAGCUUAACUGUUACUGGUGCUGUGAUCGAAUGUGACUUUUUAGCCCAGCUAAAGAUCUACAAUGUCUUGUACAGAAUUGGCAACUAAAACCUUUACCGGUAAUAGCCGGCUGUAGUUGUAACUGGGCUUCAUGUACCUUUGCAUGUCGUUUAAGUCCUCCCGCCGAAUUACACUCCCUUCCACAUGUCCGACAGAUAUGAUUAGUAUGGUGUGUAACACCACCACCAGUGGCCAGGUUGUCACUCAUCUGUCUCGUUUUAUGACUACAAAGAUAACUCUCGAGUCCAGCUUUACUGGACAUACAUACAUACAUACAUACAUACAUACAUACAUACAUGCAUGCAUGCAUGCAUGCAUACAUACAUACAUACAUACAUGUGCGCGCGCGUGUGUGUUUAAUUUUGUAUUGCAUUUCCAGACAUAGUUGUGUAUAUAUUCCAUUGUAAUGGCUCCGAGUAAGCUAUAAGAUGUUGCAAAGGCACUCAGUUCGCUAAGUGCUCCGCUUUUUAUAACGGAAACAGCUAUAAGUUAAUGAUGUUGAUUACGAAAUUCCUGUUCACUUAUCAUUCAUUAAUUCAUUAAUAUAUAUGGCGCAGGAGUGGCUGUGUGCUAAGUAGCUUGCUUACCAACCACAUGGUUCCGGGUUCAUUCCCACUGCGUGGCACCUUGGACAAGUGUCUUCUACUAUAGCCUCGGGCCGACCAAAGCCUUCUGAGUGAAUUUGGUAGACAGAAACUGAAAGAAGCCUGUCGUAUGUAUGUAUGUAUGUAUGUAUGUAUGUAUGUAUGUAUGUAUGUAUGUAUGUAUGUAUAUGUGUGUGUGUGUGUGUGUGUGUGAGUCUAUGUUUAUCUCCGCAACAUCGCUUGACAACCGGUGCUGGUGUGUUUACAUCCCCGUAACUUAGCGAUUCGGCAAAAGAGACCGGUAGAAUAAGUACUAGGCUUACAAAGAAUAAGUCCUGGGGUCGAUUUGCUCGACUAAAGGUGGUGCUCCAGCAAAGCCGCAGUCAAAUGACUGAAACAAGUAAAAGAGAAAAAAGAGAAUAUGAGUUGAAUGUGUGUGUCUCUAUGUGUUGUAAUAAUAAUAAUAAUAAUAAUAAUAAGCAGAUAACAGUUGUGAUAUUCAAAGUUUUAUAGGACAUACACACGUUUCAUCAAAUUACUGAAACAAUUACAUAACUAUAUAGAAUCAUUAUGUUAUCAUGCAUUUUACCUCAUCAGUGUUUUGCCAUAACCAUGCCUGGAAAUACAAGCCAGGGCGGUAAAGACUGGCAGUAGGUUUACUGGAUCAGAGCUGAGAUGGGUUUAAUUAAGUAAAUAUAGAAAUCUGUUUUCACGUAGUCAUAAUCAACUCAUGUAUAAACAUCGUUGUUUUUGCUUUAUUUUACAGGUGACCAACUGUAGCUAUGUGGAUCUCGUUCUAACCGGGU